AGGGGGCCUUAACAGGGGGGGGUCGAGCGGAGGGCCACUUCGGUGGUACUCGAGCGGCGGACGGGUGAGCCUUCUUGUGAGUAAUCGGCCGCUGGCUUUGGGAUAGCCACCGGAAACGGUGAUUAAUACCGGAUACGACCACUUCUCGCAUGGGAUGGUGGUGGAAAGUUUUUCGGCCAGGGAUGUGCUCGCGGCCUAUCAGCUUGAUGGUGAGGUAAUGGCUCACCAUGGCUUCGACGGGUAGCCGGCCUGAGAGGGUGACCGGUCACACUGGGACUGAGACACGGCCCAGACUCCUACGGGAGGCAGCAGUGGGGAAUAUUGGACAAUGGGCGGAAGCCUGAUCCAGCAAAGGCCGGGGUGAGGGAUGACGGCCUUCGGGUUGUAAACCUCUUUCAGUACCGACGAAGCGCAAGUGACGGUAGGUACAGAAGAAGCACCGGCCCAACUACGUGCCAGCAGCCGCGGUAAUAAUCUAGA
rnacentral:rRNA from 1 species